rnacentral:rRNA from 1 species
AUUGAACGCUGGCGGCAGGCCUAACACAUGCAAGUCGAGCGGAUGAAGGGAGCUUGCUCCUGGAUUCAGCGGCGGACGGGUGAGUAAUGCCUAGGAAUCUGCCUGGUAGUGGGGGAUAACGUCCGGAAACGGGCGCUAAUACCGCAUACGUCCUGAGGGAGAAAGUGGGGGAUCUUCGGACCUCACGCUAUCAGAUGAGCCUAGGUCGGAUUAGCUAGUUGGUGGGGUAAAGGCCUACCAAGGCGACGAUCCGUAACUGGUCUGAGAGGGUGAUCAGUCACACUGGAACUGAGCCACGGUCCAGACUCCUACGGGAGGCAGCAGUGGGGAAUAUUGGACAAUGGGCGAAAGCCUGAUCCAGCCAUGCCGCGUGUGUGAAGAAGGUCUUCGGAUUGUAAAGCACUUUAAGUUGGGAGGAAGGGCAGUAAGUUAAUACCUUGCUGUUUUGACGUUACCAACAGAAUAAGCACCGGCUAACUUCGUG